ACUUGUGCUCUUCUGAUCUUCCCUGUUGAGUGAGAUAUGAAUUGCUACCUCAGCUCAACUACUAAGUGUGCCACACCUUUUGAGAAAGGAGAGUUUUCCUUCAGGGGCCAUUGCUGGACCUGCUGAUUCAAGUUCUCAUGCUGGUUUAGAAGUCAUUAGCGGUAGUGGAUAGUGGGUCUUUGCGUUUCCUUUUUUUUUUUUCUUCCGUUUGUUUUGUGGUUGUGUGUUGUUUGUUUUUGUUUGGUUUUUUUUUUGGUUGUUUGUUUGUUGUUUUUUGAGGGAGUGGUGAUGUGUUUUGUUUUGUUUUUUAUUCUUUGUUCAGAAGCUCUGUAUCCCCUAAGAAAAACAUUGCAUACCUUUGUUUCUGUAUUGCUUAAGCUUUAUAGUAAGCACAAGCUCUGAAGACAUUAAAGUCUUACUCAGCUGUACUGUACUCGGCUCUGGUGAGGCCGCACUUCGAGUACUGUGUUCAGUUUUGGGCCCCUCGCUACAAGAAGGACAUGGAGGUGCUUGAGAGAGUCCAGAGAAGGGCGACGAAGCUGGUGAGGGGUCUG